GUCCUUUUGAUUUUUAUAUAAGGUCUGACCUGCCCUAUGAAUAUUUAAAUGGCCGCGGUAUACUAACCGUGCAAAGGUAGCAUAGUCAUUUGUCUCUUAAUUGGAGGCUUGAAUGAAGGGUUGGACGAGAUAUAAGCUUUCUUUGUUAUAUUUUAUUGAAUUUGACUUUUGAGUUAAAAGGCUUAAAUUUUUUUAUAGGACGAGAAGACCCUAUAGAAUUUUAUAUAUUUGUAUAAUCGAUUUAUUUAUUUAUUAUUUAAUUUUUUGUUUAAAUAUAUUUUGUUGGGGCGAUGGGAAGAUUUUAAUAACUCUUUUUUUUCUAAUCAUUGAUUUAUGUUUUAUUCUGAUCCUUUUUUAGAGAUUAUAAGAUUAAAUUACCUUAGGGAUAACAGCGUAAUUCUUUUGGAGAGUUCUUAUCGAUAAAAGAGUUUGCGA
rnacentral:rRNA from 1 species